rnacentral:rRNA from 1 species
CAGCAGCCACGGGAAUACGAAGGGUGCAAGCGUUAAUCGGAAUUACCGGGCGUAAAGCGUGCGUAGGCGGUGAGUUAAGUCUGCUGUGAAAUCCCCGGGCUCAACCUGGGAAUGGCAGUGGAUACUGGCUCGCUAGAGUGUGUCAGAGGAUGGUGGAAUUCCCGGUGUAGCGGUGAAAUGCGUAGAGAUCGGGAGGAACAUCAGUGGCGAAGGCGGCCAUCUGGGACAACACUGACGCUGAGGCACGAAAGCGUGGGGAGCAAACAGGAUUAGAUACCCCAGUAGUCCCUGUCUCUUAUAC